UGGGGUAUAGCCAAGCGGUAAGGCAACGGGUUUUGAUCCCGUCAUGCGGAGGUUCAAAUCCUCCUACCUCAGCCA
rnacentral:tRNA from 1 species